AAGCUUGCUUUUGAAGAUGACGAGCGGCGGACGGGUGAGUAAUGCCUGGGAAUAUGCCUUGAUGUGGGGGAUAACCAUUGGAAACGAUGGCUAAUACCGCAUAAUGCCUACGGGCCAAAGAGGGGGAUCUUCGGACCUCUCGCGUCAAGAUUAGCCCAGGUGGGAUUAGCUAGUUGGUGAGGUAAUGGCUCACCAAGGCGACGAUCCCUAGCUGGUCUGAGAGGAUGAUCAGCCACACUGGAACUGAGACACGGUCCAGACUCCUACGGGAGGCAGCAGUGGGGAAUAUUGCACAAUGGGCGCAAGCCUGAUGCAGCCAUGCCGCGUGUGUGAAGAAGGCCUUCGGGUUGUAAAGCACUUUCAGUCGUGAGGAAGGUAGUUGCGUUAAUAGCGUAAUUAUUUGACGUUAGCGACAGAAGAAGCACCGGCUAACUCCGUGCCAGCAGCCGCGGUAAUACGGAGGGUGCGAGCGUUAAUCGGAAUUACUGGGCGUAAAGCGCAUGCAGGUGGUUUGUUAAGUCAGAUGUGAAAGCCCGGGGCUCAACCUCGGAAUUGCAUUUGAAACUGGCAGACUAGAGUACUGUAGAGGGGGGUAGAAUUUCAGGUGUAGCGGUGAAAUGCGUAGAGAUCUGAAGGAAUACCGGUGGCGAAGGCGGCCCCCUGGACAGAUACUGACACUCAGAUGCGAAAGCGUGGGGAGCAAACAGGAUUAGAUACCCUGGUAGUCCACGCCGUAAACGAUGUCUACUUGGAGGUUGUGGCCUUGAGCCGUGGCUUUCGGAGCUAACGCGUUAAGUAGACCGCCUGGGGAGUACGGUCGCAAGAUUAAAACUCAAAUGAAUUGACGGGGGCCCGCACAAGCGGUGGAGCAUGUGGUUUAAUUCGAUGCAACGCGAAGAACCUUACCUACUCUUGACAUCCAGAGAAGCCAGCGGAGACGCAGGUGUGCCUUCGGGAACUCUGAGACAGGUGCUGCAUGGCUGUCGUCAGCUCGUGUUGUGAAAUGUUGGGUUAAGUCCCGCAACGAGCGCAACCCUUAUCCUUGUUUGCCAGCGAGUAAUGUCGGGAACUCCAGGGAGACUGCCGGUGAUAAACCGGAGGAAGGUGGGGACGACGUCAAGUCAUCAUGGCCCUUACGAGUAGGGCUACACACGUGCUACAAUGGCGCAUACAGAGGGCUGCCAACCAGCGAUGGUGAGCGAAUCCCAAAAAGUGCGUCGUAGUCCGGAUUGGAGUCUGCAACUCGACUCCAUGAAGUCGGAAUCGCUAGUAAUCGUGGAUCAGAAUGCCACGGUGAAUACGUUCCCGGGCCUUGUACACACCGCCCGUCACACCAUGGGAGUGGGCUGCAAAAGAAGUGGGUAGUU
rnacentral:rRNA from 1 species